rnacentral:rRNA from 1 species
GAUGAACGCUGGCGGCGUGCCUAAUACAUGCAAGUCGAGCGAACAGACGAGGAGCUUGCUCCUCUGACGUUAGCGGCGGACGGGUGAGUAACACGUGGAUAACCUACCUAUAAGACUGGGAUAACUUCGGGAAACCGGAGCUAAUACCGGAUAAUAUAUUGAACCGCAUGGUUCAAUAGUGAAAGACGGUUUUGCUGUCACUUAUAGAUGGAUCCGCGCCGCAUUAGCUAGUUGGUAAGGUAACGGCUUACCAAGGCGACGAUGCGUAGCCGACCUGAGAGGGUGAUCGGCCACACUGGAGCUGAGACACGGUCCAGACUCCUACGGGAGGCAGCAGUAUGGAAUCUGCCGCAAUGGGCGAAAGCCUGACGGAGCAACGCCGCGUGAGUGAUGAAGGUCUUCGGAUCGUAAAACUCUGUUAUUAGUGAAGAACAAAUGUGUAAGUAACUAUGCACGUCUUGACGGUACCUAAUCAGAAAGCCACGGCUAACUACGUG